GGUCCGUCGUAGAGGGUAACAACCCCGUAGUCGAAACUUCGUUCUCUCUUGAAUGUAUCCUGAGUACGGCGGAACACGUGAAAUUCCGUCGGAAUCUGGGAGGACCAUCUCCCAAGGCUAAAUACUCCCUAGUGAUCGAUAGUGAACCAGUACCGUGAGGGAAAGGUGAAAAGCACCCCGGAAGGGGAGUGAAAGAGAUCCUGAAACCGUGUGCCUACAAAUAGUCAGAGCCCGUUAACGGGUGAUGGCGUGCCUUUUGUAGAAUGAACCGGCGAGUUACGAUCCCGUGCGAGGUUAAGCUGAAGAGGCGGAGCCGCAGCGAAAGCGAGUCUGAAUAGGGCGUUUAGUACGUGGUCGUAGACCCGAAACCAGGUGAUCUACCCAUGUCCAGGGUGAAGUUCAGGUAACACUGAAUGGAGGCCCGAACCCACGCACGUUGAAAAGUGCGGGGAUGAGGUGUGGGUAGCGGAGAAAUUCCAAUCGAACCUGGAGAUAGCUGGUUCUCCCCGAAAUAGCUUUAGGGCUAGCCUUAAGUGUAAGAGUCUUGGAGGUAGAGCACUGAUUGGACUAGGGGUCCUCAUCGGAUUACCGAAUUCAGUCAAACUCCGAAUGCCAAUGACUUAUCCUUAGGAGUCAGACUGCGAGUGAUAAGAUCCGUAGUCAAAAGGGAAACAGCCCAGACCGCCAGCUAAGGUCCCAAAGUGUGUAUUAAGUGGAAAAGGAUGUGGAGUUGCUUAGACAACUAGGAUGUUGGCUUAGAAGCAGCCACCAUUUAAAGAGUGCGUAAUAGCUCACUAGUCGAGUGACUCUGCGCCGAAAAUGUACCGGGGCUAAAUACACCACCGAAGCUGCGGAUUGAUACCGAAUGGUAUCAGUGGUAGGGGAGCGUUCUAAGGACAGUGAAGUCAGACCGUAAGGACUGGUGGAGUGCUUAGAAGUGAGAAUGCCGGUAUGAGUAGCGAAAGACGGGUGAGAAUCCCGUCCACCGAAUGCCUAAGGUUUCCUGAGGAAGGCUCGUCCGCUCAGGGUUAGUCAGGACCUAAGCCGAGGCCGACAGGCGUAGGCGAUGGACAACAGGUUGAUAUUCCUGUACCACCUCUUUAUCGUUUGAGCAAUGGAGGGACGCAGAAGGAUAGAAGAAGCGUGCGAUUGGUUGUGCACGUCCAAGCAGUUAGGCUGAUAAGUAGGCAAAUCCGCUUAUCGUGUAUGCUGAGCUGUGAUGGGGAAGCUCCUUAUGGAGCGAAGUCUUUGAUUCCCCGCUGCCAAGAAAAGCUUCUAGCGAGAUAAAAGGUGCCUGUACCGCAAACCGACACAGGUAGGCGAGGAGAGAAUCCUAAGGUGUGCGAGAGAACUCUGGUUAAGGAACUCGGCAAAAUGACCCCGUAACUUCGGGAGAAGGGGUGCUUUCUUAACGGAAAGCCGCAGUGAAUAGGCCCAAGCGACUGUUUAGCAAAAACACAGCUCUCUGCGAAGCCGUAAGGCGAAGUAUAGGGGGUGACACCUGCCCGGUGCUGGAAGGUUAAGGAGAGGGGUUAGCGUAAGCGAAGCUCUGAACUGAAGCCCCAGUAAACGGCGGCCGUAACUAUAACGGUCCUAAGGUAGCGAAAUUCCUUGUCGGGUAAGUUCCGACCCGCACGAAAGGUGUAACGAUUUGGGCACUGUCUCAACCAGAGACUCGGUGAAAUUAUAGUACCUGUGAAGAUGCAGGUUACCCGCGACAGGACGGAAAGACCCCGUGGAGCUUUACUGUAGCCUGAUAUUGAAUUUUGGUACAGUUUGUACAGGAUAGGCGGGAGCCAUUGAAACCGGAGCGCUAGCUUCGGUGGAGGCGCUGGUGGGAUACCGCCCUGACUGUAUUGAAAUUCUAACCUACGGGUCUUAUCGACCCGGGAGACAGUGUCAGGUGGGCAGUUUGACUGGGGCGGUCGCCUCCUAAAGUGUAACGGAGGCGCCCAAAGGUUCCCUCAGAAUGGUUGGAAAUCAUUCGUAGAGUGCAAAGGCAUAAGGGAGCUUGACUGCGAGACCUACAAGUCGAGCAGGGACGAAAGUCGGGCUUAGUGAUCCGGUGGUUCCGCAUGGAAGGGCCAUCGCUCAACGGAUAAAAGCUACCCCGGGGAUAACAGGCUUAUCUCCCCCAAGAGUCCACAUCGACGGGGAGGUUUGGCACCUCGAUGUCGGCUCAUCGCAUCCUGGGGCUGUAGUCGGUCCCAAGGGUUGGGCUGUUCGCCCAUUAAAGCGGUACGCGAGCUGGGUUCAGAACGUCGUGAGACAGUUCGGUCCCUAUCCGUCGUGGGCGUAGGAAAUUUGAGAGGAGCUGUCCUUAGUACGAGAGGACCGGGAUGGACGCACCGCUGGUGUACCAGUUGUUCUGCCAAGGGCAUAGCUGGGUAGCUAUGUGCGGAAGGGAUAAGUGCUGAAAGCAUCUAAGCAUGAAGCCCCCCUCAAGAUGAGAUUUCCCAUAGCGUAAGCUAGUAAGAUCCCUGAAAGAUGAUCAGGUUGAUAGGUUCGAGGUGGAAGCAUGGUGACAUGUGGAGCUGACGAAUACUAAUAGAUCGAGGACUUAACCAU
rnacentral:rRNA from 1 species